rnacentral:rRNA from 1 species
CAGUAGCCGCGGUAAUACGGAGGGUGCAAGCGUUAAUCGGAAUUACUGGGCGUAAAGCGCACGCAGGCGGUCUGACAAGUCAGAUGUGAAAUCCCCGGGCUUAACCUGGGAACUGCAUUUGAAACUGUCAGGCUGGAGUCUUGUAGAGGGGGGUAGAACUCCAGGUGUAGCGGUGAAAUGCGUAGAGAUCUGGAGGAAUACCGGUGGCGAAGGCGGCCCCCUGGACAAAGACUGACGCUCAGGUGCGAAAGCGCGGGGAGCAAACAGGAUUAGAUACCCCUGUAGUCCCUGUCUCUUAUAA